CCCCUCCGGAGGCGGGGCGCGGGCCACGUGACCCGGAAAAGCCGCCCGCUUAAAGUGGUGCCGUGUCCCCCGUCGCCGAGAGACGAGGCAGGAGGCUGGCUGUGAUCACGCAGCCAAGACUGACUUCUGUACUCACCUCGGGACCCCACUCGCACCGGGCAAACACUACUCCCGGAGAUCUGCCCGGCCCCGGGGGCUGAUUUUAUAAACAAUCUGUCAGCCAUACAGGCAGGGCUGGCAUCUGCUGGGAUGUUGAAUUCUGCCUCUCCCCACAAGUUUACGUGUUGGACUUUUAAUCCCCGAUAUCUCAGAAUGUGCCUGCACUUGGAGCUUCAAAGAUGUAAUUAAGGCAAAAUGAAGUCGUCAGAUGGGUCCCUAAACCAAUAUGACUUUUAUUUAAAGAAGGAAAAAAGAGAUGAGGAGGUCUUAAAUGCCCAGCCUGCCGAGUGGCCAUCAACGAGUCAGGGAGGCCUCGAAGAAACAGUCCUGGUCCAGCGAGAUGGCUCUGUGAGUACAGGCGUUUACCACCGAGUAUGAUGGUUGACCUUGAAGAGCUGGCUCAAGUGCCUGGGCCUCCCAAGCAGCGGCACUACAGGCACCCUCGAACCCGGGGAGAAGAAACGUACUGACGCGUCAGUGCACAGGAACCAUACGGCACAACUUACAUGCAGAGUCUGAUGGUAGGCGUCCUUCAUCUCUUCACUACUAAGCUUUACUUCUUUCAAUUUAGGGGCUGGAACUUGAUCAUGGCCAAUGAAAGACAUUACUAAAAUGUGCUUCUUAAGCAGUACAACUGUUGGACAAGGAAUUCCAGCCUUCUGCAUUCUGUAUAGAAAGACAUGAUUAGGAAUAUAAAGGUCAGAAGGAGAAAACAUGCCAUUAAUUCCACAAACGCCUGUGUUGAGCUGGUACUAUGCUCUACACGGGAGAUAGGGGAAUACAAAACCAGGAAGACACAGCCCCGCUGGGAGGGAACUUGGCAGGUGGAAUGGUACCGAGUUAAGGUUGGCACAGGUGUGCCCGGCGCCCUGCACGCUCUGUGAUUCUUCAGAAAGACUGUUCAACAGAGAGCUGUCCUAUAUAUGACAGGAUGUCUGGGCAAACGAUGCCUUAGUUUCCCUUGAAUGUUAACGAAGAAGGAAAUGGCUUUUCAUUCACAAAGGAUGAAUUCUGGUUCAAAGCAGGGAAAUGUUUUCUGACAAAAAGCCUUGGAAGCACUAGAAAGUCAACAUCUUCUGUUAUUUCUAUAAGCCAGCUUAAAAGACAGCAUGGGCCUUGGCCUGGCUAGCAGUCCUGGUACAAAGGGCAAUUCCCAAGGUCACCUGCAGCACACUGUUUCUUUACCUUGUAAGAUUGUGCAUUUCUUUCUCUGCCCACAUGCGGAUGAUCUUACGUGGAUUUAGUUUACUGAAGCGGUCCUUAAACCUGAAAUCAUCUUUAAUGUAUUUGUCACGGUUCUUAAACUCAUUCAGGGUUGUUUUAAAUACCUUGAUGGCACAUUCGGUUGGUAUAGCUCUACCAUCUUCCUUGUCCUCCUCCAAGCUGAAGGGAGAAGAACAAAGUCAGUAAGUCACCAGCUCACAGGAAGACCGUCUCAGGCUCCAUUCCACUCAAGUAGACCGACUCUGUUUCAAAGGGUCAUCCGACUUUGUUGUUGUUUUUAAACCUUCAAGUUUUAUAUCUUAAUAAAACAUUAGGUUUUAGGGGAUCCUGCUAUGUUUCCUAGAAUGGCCUCAAUUUCCUAGACCCAAGUGAUCCUCCUGUCUCAGCUUGUCCAGGAUCUGGAACUACAGACAGACACUGUUGCUCCUAGCUGGGUUUGUUUCUUUUAAUAAAACAUACUUCCAAAUGAACUGUCAGAUACCUUUCAUCAAUCUACAGUAUAAUGUUCUGCAUAUUUCAUCACUAUAGAAUCAAGCUUGACAAAUAAUGGGAAAACAUACUUCUUAAACUACUAUGACCUUGGAUUUGGGGGCAAAACUCAACAAAAUCAACAGAGUAGCCUUGUAAAAAAAAAUAAUCAUAAUUCCCAGCCUGGUCUCCAAAGCGAGUUCCAGGAAAGGUGCAAAGCUACACAGAGAAACCCUUGACAGCUGAGACAUCCAGUCUCCUGUACUGAACAACUACCAGGUCCUUUGCCUUUCCAUCAGGGAACAGCCAUAGUUGGACUAACAGACCACAGCUUGUGAGCCUCUCUAGUCAUCUCCCUUUAAAAUAUAUCCAUAUGUGUAGAAUUCUAUCAUUCCUGUUCCUUUAAAGAGCCUAAUACACAUGCAGAAACAUCUACAUAGACAAGCAGCUGUAAUGACGUGCUAUGUACCCUUUCAUCCAUCUUUUGGCUGUCAACACUGGGUUUUUUGCUUACUUUUAAAAUGCAGGCUGAAAGCUAACCUCAUCAUGAUGCCUUCCCUGCAUGUGUCUGGCAAUGAUCUUGCCCUCUGUCUCUUCCUACCCUACAGUGGUCUUACACAGCUGCAUGCUUUGUCAUACAAUUAUCUUUUACUGGUCGUAACUGUUCUUGCUCCAGUGACCUCCUCCUGUCACGGAGGAUCUGACUGCUGUGGUGACAAACAAGAAAGUCUGUACUUUCUCCUUUAUGUGCAUGUUGAUGUGAGUGAGGGUCAGCAGACAACCCUGGAUGUUGGGCCUUGCCUUGUGCCUUGGGGCGGUCUCGCUGCCUCUGUGUAAGCCAGGCUCCCAGGGAGUCUCCCGUCUCCCCCCCACCCCACCCAGGAGCACAGGGAACCCCAGUCCUCAUACUUGCACAGAAACCACUUCACCCUCCCAGCCGACUCUCCAGCCCCAGAAAAUACACUGUUUAACUUUUAAUUAAAAUUUUCAUAUACUAAAAAAAAAAAAGAAAAAAACAUGAAAUCCCAAAAACACUGCUUGAUACACCAGCCGGCUCAGGAUUUCCAAGGGAGCAAACCCAGCUCUCCAUUCAGUGAAGCCUUCCACUAACUGUUUAACAAAAAGAGGAAAAGCAAGGCAUACAGUGUUUCCACAUCAAUUUCAUUAGGAGUUUAGCUGGAGGGUAUAGCUGUAAAACACACCUAAGUUCAAGGAUCUCUCUAUACAGUCCCAUAAUGUCAUUUACAGUAGCAUGGUCUGGGGAUGGAGAGGCAGCUCUGAGGCCAAGGGCACUUGCUGUGCUCCCAGUUCCAGAGGACUGGGAUUUGGUUCCUAGCUCUCCUGUCGGACAGCUCACAACCACCUUUAACUCCAGCUCCAGGGAAGCCAACGCCUCCUGGUCUAUUACACAUCAAUAAAAAUAAGACUUUAAAAGGUAUAGUGCGGUCUAGAAAUACAGACUGCCUACUAAUACCUAAACGUCAAAGGUAUGUUAACUGGGAAGAGAUCACUGCAUAAGCUAAGUAAACAAAUGCAUACAAAACUCUGAAAGAUUGAACUCAAAGUUGGAAAGGAAGAAAUAAAUGUUUGUUAAGAUUAAUAUCAGGAAUUAUGAAAUAAGGUCUCAUUGAGCCACACAAAAAUCCCAUGAAGUGAGGCGCAGUUUCCAAGUGAGGUUUUCAUCUAACUUGUUCCAGAUCAGAGGUUAAAACUGCAAACCCCUCCCCAUACCUCCUUCCCUUUUGGUGCUGGGGAUUGAACCCAGGGCCUUGCAUCUGCUAAGCAUGAGCUCUACCACUGAGCUACAUCCCCAGACCCAACCCUGCUUUCUGCUCUCUUCAUUUUUAGAACUUAACAAUCCGAUUCACUAUGAUGUCUGUGUGUUAAGGGUGUGUGUGAAAAGGUAAAUAGUUAAGAAAACUAAAGGCAAAGAAUUGACCAACAGGCAUGUGAAUUCUUUUAAGUACAAAACAAAUAAAUAAAAAUAAUGUCUACACUUCUACAA